rnacentral:tRNA from 1 species
AGCAAGAUGCCUGAUUAAAGGAUUACUUUGAUGAAGUAAACUAAGUGAAACCUCACUCAUGCUA